rnacentral:misc_RNA from 1 species
GCAAUUAUCACUGAUAUCCAAAAUGAAAGAACCAUUGGAACAUGGUAAAUCAGGAUAUUGCUGCACCAGAGGAAUAUUUAUUUUAAACCCAAUGUUUGAAGCAGACAUGAAAUACAGUAAUCCUUGGUGUGAUAAUACUAGAUAUCCUAACACAGUGACAAAAUCAGCAUAUUGAUAAUGCAUAAUCAAGACCAGAAAAGCAUAAAUGAAAAUCAGUCUGAGCUCAGGUGUGGAGGAGUUCAAGAAUUGUAUGUUACGUGACAUGACGAUUACUUCACGAUGCAAAUCUUGAUAACGGAUGCAGAACCAAUACGAUGAAGUGCAACGACAGCAUCACCAGGUUUGCAUAGCCCUUUCGUUACAGCAGACUUCAGGGAAGCUUCAAGGAUUACCUCAGUUGAUUCAGAAUCAGUGGCCUUUGCGGAACCUUCACCAAGAAGUGGAAUCAAGCCCCUAUAUACCAAACUGUGUCUAGCUGGGGUCUCGUCGCUGAUGGACCAAUCGAAAGAGUCUGUAGUCAAAACAGGCACGACUACUGACAGAAUAGGAACUGCAGGCCUAUACUUGGCAACCAGCUUUGCUGUACUCCCGCCACGUGUCAGGACAACAAUGAGCUUUGCUCUAGCUUUGUUAGCCGUGCGGACAGCUGAUGAUGCAAGACUCUCCAAUGGGCUCAUUGGCAAUGGGGUACACCUGAUCAUUUCCUUGAAGAUAGCCUCGUUGUCAAGUGAAGACUCUGCCUCAAUGCAGAUUCGUGACAUGAUUUUUACCGCCAGCUCAGGAUAAGCACCAGCUGCACUCUCCCCACUUAACAUAACACAAUCAGUGCCAUCCAAGACAGCAUUAGCCACAUCAGUAGCCUCAGCACGGGUGGGUCGUGGAGACUUGAUCAUUGAUUCAAGCAUCUGGGUGGCAGUUACCACAGCUUUGCCAGCAAGAUUACACUUGUAUAUCAUCAUUUUCUGAGCCAAGAAAAUCUUCUCAACUGGAAUUUCCAUUCCGAGAUCACCUCGAGCAACCAUAAAAGAAUCUGUCUCACGAAGGAUUUCAUCAAAGUUGAUGACCCCUUCUUGGUUUUCAACCUUU